rnacentral:rRNA from 1 species
UACGAAGGGGGCUAGCGUUGCUCGGAAUCACUGGGCGUAAAGGGUGCGUAGGCGGGUCUUUAAGUCAGGGGUGAAAUCCUGGAGCUCAACUCCAGAACUGCCUUUGAUACUGAAGAGCUUGAGUUCGGGAGAGGUGAGUGGAACUGCGAGUGUAGAGGUGAAAUUCGUAGAUAUUCGCAAGAACACCAGUGGCGAAGGCGGCUCACUGGCCCGAUACUGACGCUGAGGCACGAAAGCGUGGGGAGCAAACAGG